rnacentral:tRNA from 1 species
UGCCACGUGGUACGGCCGGUCCUCGGCCUUGGGGGUCGGGCCCUUGCCCUCGAGGGAACGGCGGUUCUUGCCCCCCGUGCCGA